GGCCAGAUGAUUGUAGUUGGAUGGGGGGCUGGGAAGAAUACGACCACUGUAGAUAUCAACAGAAGUGGACCUAUGCCGCCAAAUCUUGUAAACAGCACAGCUCAUGCCAGAAAUUUGAAGAAAAGCCAGCUUGGAGGUGUCAUANGCUGCAAGAACAACACCAUGAAUGAAUGCCUCUCUAAACAACUCUUUGGUUUACCAGCUACACACAUAUCAUAUGUAAAAAAUAUUGAUCCUGGCUUGCCACUGUUCCUUUUCAACUACAGCGAUAGGAAGCUUCAUGGGAUCUUUGAAGCUGCUGGCUCUGGCCAAAUGAAUAUUGACCCAUAUGGGUGGACAGCUGGUGGUUCACAGAGAACACAAUAUCCUGCACAGGUUCAAAUUUGUGUCCGACUACAAUGCCAUCCACUGCCUGAAGUACAGUUUAAACCUAUAAUUGCAGACAACUAUCACAAUCGUAAC
rnacentral:misc_RNA from 1 species